rnacentral:rRNA from 1 species
AUGGCUGCUGGGGCCGGCGAGCCGGUGCUGCCGUCCAAGGGCGUGUGCGUGGUUGGGGGCGGCAUGGCCGGUCUGGCCGCGGCGCGCGAGCUACGGCGGGAGGGCCACGCCGUCACCGUCAUGGAGCAGAGCGGCGACGUCGGCGGGCAGUGGCUGUACGACCACCGGACCGACGCCGAGGACCCGCUCGGCGCCACGGCGCCGGUGCGCGUGCCCAGCAGCAUCUACGCUUGCCUCCGCCUCAUCAGCCCGCGCGAGGCCAUGGGCUUCUCCGACUUCCAGUUUUUUCCCACGGACGGGGAGGGCCGCGACCCGCGCCGCUUUCCAGUCCACGGCGAGCUGCACUGCUACCUCCGGGACUUCUGCGACGCCUUCGGGCUCAUGGACACCGUCAGGCUCAACACCCGGGUCCUGCGCGUCGCUCCCGCGCCGACGUCGUCCCGGUGGGCGGUGAGGUCCGUGCGGCUCCUCGGCACCACCGAGGAUGAUGAUGUUGCGCAGGAGGAGGAGGAGGUGUUCGACGCCGUGGUGGUGGCCACCGGCCACUACUCGCAGCCGAUGCUCCCGACCGACAUCGAGGGCAUGGGGGAGUGGACGCGCCGGCAGCUGCACAGCCACUCCUACAGGACGCCGGAGCCGUUCCUCGGCGAGGCAGUGGUGAUCGUAGGGUGCGGGAACAGCGGCAAUGACAUCGCGCUGGACCUCUGCCGUGUCGCCAGGGAGGUGCACCUUGCCGCUAGCUCCGAGGCCACGGCCGCCACGCCGGCCAUGUCGAGGGUGCUGAUGCUGGCCAACCACGGCGACGUGCUGCGCCUGCACGCGUGGAUUCGCCGUCUUCAGGCCGACGGGCGCGUGGAGUUCGCGGACGGCUCCUCCGUCGUGGCCGACACGGUCAUCUACUGCACGGGGUACACCUACUCGUUCCCGUUCCUGGACACUGCCGGCGCGGUCACCAUCGACAGCGACGGCUACGUCGUCGGCCCGCUGUUUGAGCACGUGUUCCCGCUGUCCCUGGCGCCGUCCCUCUCCUUCGUGGGCGUGGCAAAGAAGGUCCUGAUCCCGUGGUUCUUCGAGGUGGCGGCGCGGUGGAUGGCGCAGGUGUUGUCCGGCCGCCGCGCGCUGCCGGCGGAAGAGGAGAUGCUGCGGUCCGUGGAGGAGCACCUCCGCGCCAGGGAGGCUGCCGGCAUCGAAUCUCAGAAGAUGUACGAGUUCGGGGAGAAGUACUCGGACUUGGCGCCGCUGGAGGAGUGGAAGAAGGAGCUGCUCAUGUCCAGCAUCGCGAGCAUGAUGGCCGACGUGGAGACCUUCCGCGACCGUGCCUACGACGACAGCGAGAUCGUGCGGAAGGGCCUGCGGGGAUGGCUCGACUUGGCUGCUCAAGCUCAAGCAAAAUCUAUGGCUGUUGCCGUUGACGUUGAAGCUGAACGUGCAUGCCAUGGCUAA